rnacentral:rRNA from 1 species
AUGGCAAAGCUAGUUUCCAGUUCCAGGGAGGGAACCUGUGGCAAUGGCUGCUGCUGCUGCUCCGGCGACGACGGCGGUGGUGCCGCGGAUGAGCUGGGCUCCCAGGGGCUGGAGGUGUCGGCGCUGGGGCUGGGCUGCAUGGGCAUGUCCGCCUACUACGGGCCGCCCAAGCCCGAGCCGGACAUAGUCGCGCUCAUCCACCACGCCGUCGCCGCCGGCGUCACCCUCCUCGACGCCUCCGACAUCUACGGCCCGCACACCAACGAGCUCCUCCUCGGCAAGGCGCUGCAGGGCGGGGUGAGGGGCAAGGUGCAGCUGGCGACCAAGUUCGGCAUCCUCGCCGGCGCCGACGGCGCGCGGGCGAUCCGCGGCGACCCGGCGUACGUGCGCUCGGCGUGCGAGGGCAGCCUCCGGCGCCUCGGCGUCGAAUGCAUCGACCUCUACUACCAGCACCGCGUCGACGUCAGCGUGCCCAUCGAGGUCACGAAACUGGUUGAAGAGGGGAAGAUAAACUACAUUGGGUUGUCUGAAGCAUCGGAGUCGACCAUCCGAAGAGCGCACACGGUUCAUCCCAUAACCGCUGUCCAGCUAGAGUGGUCGUUGUGGUCGAGAGAUGUCGAGGAAGAUAUAAACUUGCAGGGAACUUGGCAUUGGAAUUGUGGCGUACAGUCCGUUGGGCAGAGGGUUCUUCUCUAG